AAAUGAAUUGACGGGGGCCCGCACAAGCGGUGGAGCAUGUGGUUUAAUUCGAAGCAACGCGAAGAACCUUACCUACUCUUGAAAUCCAGUGAACUUAGCAGAGAUGCUUAGGUGCCUUCGGGAACACUGAGACAGGUGCUGCAUGGCUGUCGUCAGCUCGUGUUGUGAAAUGUUGGGUUAAGUCCCGUAACGAGCGCAACCCCUAUCCUUAGUUGCCAGCGAGUAAUGUCGGGGACUCUAAGGAGACUGCCGGUGACAAACCGGAGGAAGGCGGGGAUGACGUCAAGUCAUCAUGGCCCUUACGAGUAGGGCUACACACGUGCUACAAUGGCGUAUACAGACGGUUGCGAAGCGGUGACGUGGAGCUAAUCUGAGAAAGUACGUCGUAGUCCGGAUUGGAGUCUGCAACUCGACUCCAUGAAGUCGGAAUCGCUAGUAAUCGUGAAUCAGAAUGUCACGGUGAAUACGUUCCCGGGCCUUGUACACACCGCCCGUCACACCAUGGGAGUUGAUUGCACCAGAAGU
rnacentral:rRNA from 1 species